AACAGCCGCGGUAAUUCCAGCUCCAAUAGCGUAUAUUAAAGUUGUUGCAGUUAAAAAGCUCGUAGUUGAAUUUCGGGGUCAGCAGGUUGGUCGUGCCAAUGGUAUGCACUGGCCUUGCUGAUUCCUCCCUCUUGAUGAGCCGUAAUGUCAUUAAUUUGGUGUUGCGGGGAAUCAGGACUGUUACUUUGAAAAAAUUAGAGUGUUUAAAGCAGGCAAGCGCUUGAAUACAUUAGCAUGGAAUAAUGAAAUAGGACGUUUGAUCCUAUUUUGUUGGUUUCUAGGAUUGACGUAAUGAUUAAUAGGGAUAGUUGGGGGCAUUAGUAUUCAAUUGUCAGAGGUGAAAUUCUUGGAUUUAUUGAAGACUAACUACUGCGAAAGCAUUUGCCAAGGAUGUUUUCAUUAAUCAAGAACGAAAGUUAGGGGAUCGAAGACGAUCAGAUACCGUCGUAGUCUUAACCAUAAACUAUGCCGACUAGGAUCGGAUGAUGUUAAUUUUUUAAUGUACUCU
rnacentral:rRNA from 1 species